UACGUAGGCAGCGAGCGUUGUUCGGAGUUACUGGGCGUAAAGGGUGUGUAGGCGGUUGUUUAAGUUUGGUGUGAAAUCUCCCGGCUCAACUGGAGGGUGCGCCGAAUACUGAAUGACUAGAGUGUGGGAGAGGUGAGUGAAUUCCUGGUGUAGCGGUGAAAUGCGUAGAUAUCAGGAGGAACACCGGUGGUGUAGACGGCUCACUGGACCAUAACUGACGCUGAGACACGAAAGCGUGGGUAGCAAACAGG
rnacentral:rRNA from 1 species